GACGAACGCUGGCGGCGUGCUUAACACAUGCAAGUCGAACGGAAAGGCCCUGCAUUUGUGGGGUGCUCGAGUGGCGAACGGGUGAGUAACACGUGAGUAACCUGCCCUUGACUUUGGGAUAACUUCAGGAAACUGGGGCUAAUACCGGAUAGGAGCUCCUGCUGCAUGGUGGGGGUCGGAAAGUUUCGGCGGUUGGGGAUGGACUCGCGGCUUAUCAGCUUGUUGGUGGGGUAGUGGCUUACCAAGGCUUUGACGGGUAGCCGGCCUGAGAGGGUGACCGACCACAUUGGGACUGAGAUACGGCCCAGACUCCUACGGGAGGCAGCAGUGGGGAAUAUUGCACAAUGGGCGGAAGCCUGAUGCAGCAACGCCGCGUGCGGGAUGACGGCCUUCGGGUUGUAAACCGCUUUCGCCUGUGACGAAGCGUGAGUGACGGUAAUGGGUAAAGAAGCACCGGCUAACUACGUG
rnacentral:rRNA from 1 species